rnacentral:rRNA from 1 species
UACGAAGGUGGCAAGCGUUACUCGGAAUUACUCGGCGUAAAGGGCAGGUAGGUGGUUCGAUAAGUCUGUUGUGGAAGCUCCUGGCUUAACUGGGAGAGAUCAACGGAAACUAUCGAGCUUGAGUGUGGGAGAGGGUAUUGGAAUUCCCGGUGUAGCGGUGAAAUGCGCAGAGUUCGGGAGGAACACCAAUGGCGAAAGCAGAUACCUGGACCACUACUGACACUCAGCUGCGAGAGCUAGGGGAGCAAACAGG